GUGACUCCAUCCUUCCAACGGAGCAAUUAAAUUACAGAACAGACGUGUCAGCAAAGCCAUAUUCCCUCCAAAAGCUCUGGAAAGAAUCCUUGCAGCUGCUAAGUAAAAAUCGGAGGCCAGUGUUGGGAUCAAGCCACACCAAGACUCAACAGAGAAGGCUGAAGUCCAACUGGAGUCUUUCGUGUCCAUGCUGAAGCUGUUGGACUAGCACUAAACUAGGAACCCCUGCUCACAUGGAUACUCUCGGGCCUGAGCGGAGACAUAACAUUCUGAUGGGGCAGUCAGUCGCCUGGACAUCAGGAGUUUGCAGAUGGGGGAUUUGGUGGCAAAGCAAGGGGUAUAUCCUUUCCCGUUCUUUCAGAUGCUGGCCAGAACUUAAAUGAACUAUUUCUGGUAUUUUGGGCUUUCUUACUUUCCCUAAAGCCUCUCUCUCUGCUCAUCCAUCAAGUGUCUGACCAUCUCUGAGUUGACUUCAACAGGGUGUUUCCCCCCUG
rnacentral:lncRNA from 1 species